GCCAAAAGUAUGUAUCCAUUGUUGGAACCUUGAAGCAGUUUUUGUUAGUGCAUAUCAAUUAAUACCAUUUGUUCUAAAACAGGUCUGGGGAAGGCAUUGGAUGCAGCAUCCAAAGAGUGUGACCAACUACAGUUGUGGAGGCCAGCUAUAGUGAAUCACCUCUAUUGGACCGCAGCCUCAACCCCAGAUGGCAACCCAGCGGUCAUGGAGGCCAAAUAGAGAAGUUUAGUGAACCACAUCCAGGACAUCCAUGACCAUGACACCCCUGCCUUCUCCAGUUGUGCCCAUGGCCCUCUAGACGGAGAUCAGCGCAACAAAGAGUGGCUGGACCCAGGUACAGUACUGGUAUUAUGCACGCUCUACAUAGUUUUGUUUUAUUUGCUGUCUUUGAGUAAUUGUCUGGAUGCUUUGACAUGUGAACUUUGUGAUGAAAUUAUUUUUUCAUUCCCUGGCAAUCUCAUAACAUUCUGUUUACUGUUUAUGUUUGCUAUAAUUCAUAUGCAGGACAAUUUCAUGUGUGUUUCCAUUUAAAAAAGGAAUUCUGUCCGUCUAUAUAUCUUCCUGUCUAUUUGUACGUUUUCCGUCUGUGUGUCUGUCUGCCUCCCUGCCUUGGUCUUUGCAGGCUCAUUGGAAGCAGUCAAGUUGGAGAACAUAAUGAUGAGGGCUGCCUUACUGAAAGAUGUUCGACAGCUGUCUCCACAACACCAGACCUUCUCCCUUGAGGCUUACCACUCCCUCAUCUUGCACUUCGCGCCCAAGCACACAGGGUUUUCAUACCUUGGGAUGUAUAGCAGGCUUCUCUUAGCGGCGCUGCAUUAUAAUCACAAUGCCAAUCGCGAGACAGCACGGAGAAGUGACGGGACGGAGAAGUACUGCGUGCGGUAUCCGCGCUUCAGAAAAGUUGGCCAUGUGGUGCGUCCCAUCAAAGAGGCAGCCUCAUAGGGUUAUGCAACAUCAUUAAUGAAGGCCCUUCGGGAGAGCUACGCCAAUUCACCCGCGGUUCUUCGAGAGAUUAGCGCCAAUUUGUCCUCCGAUGCACCCGACCCCAUCGCCAAAUCCUUCGAACAGAUUCCUAAGGAGGAGGCCGUCAGCCUCUACCUAGCCCGGCAGUCACGCUUCAAGAAAACCUAAUUUCACAUUAUUAUUUUUUUCCACGGACAAGUCCAAUGAUUUAGUUAUUAUUUGCAUGAAAUUUCUUUGUAUGUAAUUCAAAAUAAUUUGGCAAUCAU